ACGAACGCUGGCGGCAGGCUUAACACAUGCAAGUCGAGCGCCUCGCAAGAGGAGCGGCAGACGGGUGAGUAACGCGUGGGAAUCUACCCAUCUCUACGGAACAACUCCGGGAAACUGGAGCUAAUACCGUAUACGUCCUUCGGGAGAAAGAUUUAUCGGAGAUGGAUGAGCCCGCGUUGGAUUAGCUAGUUGGUGGGGUAAUGGCCUACCAAGGCGACGAUCCAUAGCUG
rnacentral:rRNA from 59 species